UGGAAGGGUGGAGAUCUUCUACAACAGCCAGUGGGUGACGGUGUGUGACAAAGGCUGGGGGACCGAUUUGGGUCGAUAACCUUCAGUGUUCACGACUCAUCAAUAACUGACUGUGUAAAUCAGGGAAUGGGCUCCCACAACUGUCAUCAUGGAGAGGGUGCUAUGUGUCAUCUGUGAAGGUAAACAUGUAUACAAUCAAUUUAACCUUUUAGUUUGUUAGUUUUAGGUUUAGGUUCUGACAUUAUACAAUAAGAUCAAAGUUUAUCUAUAGGCUGCUGAGCUUGUUUGUUCCAGUAAUCAGCUCGAAGUUGGUGUGCGUUUGGGCAGCCCACGGUCAUCUGGUUUGAACGCAUUCUCUGGUCACUUGGCAGCCCCUUACUGUUCCCAAUACAGAGUGCAUAACAACACCACGGCAGGCUGGCAUCUGUGGAAAUGUACUGAUGUUUUGCAGAAUGAGGGCAUAUCGCUCUGUUCCCAACACAGCCGAGCUGAAUCCCAUCACCAUUGGACCAAUCACCUGGGAAAGUUGACAAGGUGGGGGACUGAGCUGAGAGACACUUUAAAAUGACGCACACACAUUGUUGUGUUGUUGUUUUUUUUUACAUAUUGUAUGAUUUAAUCAUUUAAUCACACACUUAACAUCAAUCAUAUCAAUAUUAGUAUCAUCGCUAUUAAUACAGUAUGUAGGAUAUUCUCAAUUUUGGGUCUAUUUAAGCUUGUUAGCAAUAAUGCUGUUUUCUCUUUUAGCCAGGAUUAUUUAUUUUAGGAAAGGAAUGUUAGUAACUAAAGCUGUCACACAAAUGUAAAAAGUAAAAUAUUUCCCUCUGACAUGUAGUGGAGUAAAAGUAUAAAGCUGCCUAAAAUGGAAAUACACAAGUAAAGUAAAAGUACCUACCAGUACUUAAGUGAUCGUUUGAAGCACUCUUACCCUAGCAGAGACUACCCCCAUGUGGAUUGACAGGUGUACUGCAUGCUUGCACUCGACAGUGUAAAACUCCCAUAUUGCUCCCUAGUUAACCUCACCCUGGUGAUUAAAACCUGUUCAUAUAGCGUAUUGUCCCAGACAGAUGUCUUAAUUUCUUCACUAAGUUUCUCCAUAAAAGCCCAACUCUUCAUAAAGCCACUGUAAAUAGGGUAUGAACAUUUCUGUAAAUUGCCUCAUAUAAUAUCUUAAGUUUUGCUCCUCUUGUGAAAGUCUACCUGAAUGUUAUUGUUGGAAACCUUGCCUUUUCUGUGUUCCUACAAAAAGCUGUUUUGUCUCAACUAGGUUUUUUUUUUCAUCAUUAGAAGAAGAAGAUUGUUCUAAAUUGUUCUUCAUCAUUAUAUGAUUACAAUUAUUCUUGUAAAUGUUGUUGAUAAUGUCUGUCCGCCAUUUUUUAGUGCUGGGCAGGUAAUGUGCAGCUGGUUUAUUGGAGCUUUUUUGCUGGAAAAAGCUGCCUGGGAGUGUUGAACCAUACAUUAUAUUUGUGGCUGUGAUCCAAAACAUUCAGCUAAAAGAGGCCACAUCGCUCAGUUGGUUGAUAAUGCUCUUUAGCAAGCCUUACAAAUUGCGUGUUGUCAUUUGAUUUGAAUAAUAUUGUUAAGCUUUUAGCUGUAACUGAACACUAGAAACAGACAAUAUAUCGGCUGUCUGUGAACAGGUCAAAGGCCUCCACCAGGAGUCAGUGGAUGGCCGUCAAAAGUCCAGCCUUGAACAGAGACAUGGUUAUGUCCAUAUGUGACCAAAAUUCCACACCUAAAUCAAGUACUGACUGAGCAAACUCCAUUUACUGAUGAACUGCAAGCUACAGAACAAGGACCAGUGUAUUGGAUUUAGUAGCAUCUAGCAGUGUAGUUGCAGGUUGUAACACCGCUAGCGUCCGUAUCUGAUGACCUGGGAAUGAGAACAGUGAACUCUAAUCUCAGAUGAACAUAGUGAAGCAAUUAGCACCUAAAGAGCUUGUUAUUUUCCUUAGAACACAGUAGAGAACUAAAAGAGAGUGAAUAUCAGAUUUAUUCUCCAGGUGGUGACGGAUAUGACUUUGAAUGAAUGAUAAGUGUUCUGUAACAGCUGGAUGUGUAAUGUGUGUGUGUGUUAAUGUGGUAAUGAUAUGUCAGAGUUAUGUUCACAACUUCUUUGCGCUGCCCCCAAGUGGCCAAAAAAUCAGUUAUUGUAAGUUUAAAGGUGCAGGGAAGACAGAGCAGAGAACCCACUGCAGUAUGGUUAGGACAGACCCAUUCCAGUGGGGAAGUGUCAUUAAGAAAGUCCUCACUUUCUACCAAUCCCAAGAGGACGUGAAUACAACGCUGCCUUCAAGGGCUGUAGGACAUAUUGAAUUUUAAAGUUGGUGUCCCAUAUGAGCUAUCAAAGUGCGAAAGUCUCGCUUACAGCCAGAAACAUUAACUGUGCAGUUCAGUAAACAGCAGAUUCCUUUAGCCUGGACGUUUUUGCCUGUGUGUAGAUAUCGAAGAUGUAAACCAUUGUUGGGUCCAGCUUUCUGUGGACUCAGCACUUUUCAUUUUUGUUAAUUUU